rnacentral:rRNA from 1 species
GUGUAGGUCGGGCUAGCUGCGGUGGUAGUACUGAGGGUGUGGGGGUUAAGUGGAUUUACGGGGCUUAAAUGGUGGGUAGGCGGCUGAUUAAGUCGGAUGGGAAAUCCGUGAGCUUAACUUAGGAAUUGCAUUCGAUACUGGUCAGCUAGAGUAUGGGAGAGGAUGGUAGAAUUCCAGGUGUAGCGGUGAAAUGCGUAGAGAUCUGGAGGAAUACCGAUGGCGAAGGCAGCCAUCUGGCCUAAUACUGACGCUGAGGUACGAAAGCAUGGGGAGCAAACAGGAUUAGAUACCCCAGUAGUC